rnacentral:lncRNA from 1 species
CGAACGAAAGGGCAAACGUUUUCCAAUUUCUUUGACUGUAGGGCCAUGAUGCGGAUCCUCCCUACUCCGGAUGCUGACAACCAGGAGAGGCAGCUACGGGUCUCACACCCAUCCCCCAAUCCCCCCGCUAGCUGCGGACCCUGCAUCAUUCCCAACCGCUGGUCAACCCGGCACCCUGUCACCAACACUGCCUGAGGGUUUCUGGAGUCUGCGGUUCCGGGCACAAUAGCAC